UACGUAGGGUGCGAGCGUUGUCCGGAAUUAUUGGGCGUAAAGAGCUUGUAGGCGGUUUGUCGCGUCUGCUGUGAAAAUCCGGGGCUCAACCCCGGACUUGCAGUGGGUACGGGCAGACUAGAGUGUGGUAGGGGAGACUGGAAUUCCUGGUGUAGCGGUGAAAUGCGCAGAUAUCAGGAGGAACACCGAUGGCGAAGGCAGGUCUCUGGGCAUGAUCUGACGCUGAGGAGCGAAAGUGUGGGGAGCGAACAGG
rnacentral:rRNA from 1 species